CAGGAAAUGAGGCUGUACGUGCAGCAAGACAAACUCUGAAUUCAACAGUUUAUUAUUCCGGAUGCAGUUUAAGACAAAAGGCCUUCGAGUCAACCUCGUCAGUAUGUUUUUUUUCUUCGCCUGUACAAACUAAGGUACUUCCAACUCCAUCUCAUGCAGCGGUGUGUCUCAGUGGUUGAGCUUUUAAAGCAAGGUCAAUGAAGCCAAAACUGGUCAAUGUUUUUAUGACAAGCUUGAGUGACCUGCACAGAGCCCUGACCUCAAUCCCCAUGAACAACUUUGGGAUGAAUUGGAACCGACUACACACCAGAACUAUCCCACACAGCAACUAGGGUGGAGAGGAUGUCAAAGUGAAACCCAAAGAUUUCCAGAAUCAAUUAUCAGAUGCACCUCCAUACCAAAAACGUUUUGCCACAUUGCACUAAAGAAGCCCAUCUUUCCAGCAACCAAAAAAGGCUUUUGUCAUUACUUGAUACUACUAUUAUAUAGUUAAAUAUAUUAUAGUCAAAUGUGUUACAGCAGCAAAGAAAAAGAAAUGUGAAAAUGUGUAAAAAAAAAAAAAGUAGAAACAUAAUACAGUAUAUACAUCCCAAUGUAUAAAUACAAAAAAAGGAAAGAAAAGAAAAAGAGACCAUGAACAAAGCUAAGAAUUUAAAAGAGUUACAAAUGUCUUAAAAUGUAAUGUAAUGAAUGUAAAUAUGAUUUGUAUAAGAUACUAUUAGCAAUAGAAUAUAAAGAUGCUCAGUGCUAUUAGUCUUAUAUAAAGGAAGCUUCAUGCAAUAUUAAUUUUGCGGUUGCUGUUCAUUUUUUUUUUUUAGAAAUAUUUGUUCUGAGUUAAAACUGCUGAGACAGUCAGAAAAACACUUGAGAUUUGCACAGUUUGUACCACUUGGAAACCAUGAGGAGACCAUUGACCAGCAAUUAAUAUUCACAGUUCUGAUACAAUGGCUUUUAACUAUAAUUGCUAUGAUCAGUUUUGUGCUAAAGCCUCCAUCAGUGUAUAUGGAUAACUUUAAUAAUAACUUCCAUCAUUGAAAUAAAAUGAAUGUAUACAAUGAGGAUCGGUUCCCUGUUGAGCAUUCAUUCUCAGAUCGUUUUAUGAUUUUUCUUUGCCAUCUUUACCUCUGGAUUGGUCAUUAGGACUAUAGGACUAUAGGGACAAAUGUAAUUAAUUUAAACUAUAUUUUCUUAACUUAUUUUUUUUUCUUUAAAGCUACUUAGAGGCAAUUUAAUUAAACUGAAAUCCACAAAACAUUAUAAAAAUUGUAUGUUCUGUAUAAUAAAUCUGGUGUUUUAUUG